rnacentral:sRNA from 1 species
AGCCUAACCCUUUGGUCUAAACGCCCAAGAUAUGGUUAAAAAUCCACGUGAAUAAAGACGGUCUUCUGAUCGGCAUUAUUCACGUGGUCAACAUCCGAAAGGGUGUUGGGCGACGCAAGUUGCC